CUCAAUGGUGGGUUGUGUAGGGCACUCGAAAGAGUGACCGGUUCCUUGUUCCGGUAAGCCUAACCCUACACAACUCGCCACCAAU
rnacentral:antisense_RNA from 1 species